CUAGUACUCCCUCCGUCCGGAAAUACUUAUCGGAGAAAUGGAUGUAUCUAGACGUAUUUUAGUUCUUGAUACAUCCAUUUUUAUCCAUUUCUCCAACAAGUAUUUUCGGACGGAGGGAGUAAUAA
rnacentral:pre_miRNA from 1 species